rnacentral:rRNA from 1 species
UGGGGAAUAUUGGACAAUGGGCGCAAGCCUGAUCCAGCCAUACCGCGUGGGUGAAGAAGGCCUUCGGGUUGUAAAGCCCUUUUGUACGGAAAGAAAGCUUCCAGGUUAAUACCCUGGGAGGAUGACGGUACCGUAAGAAUAAGCACCGGCUAACUUCGUGCCAGCAGCCGCGGUAAUACGAAGGGUGCAAGCGUUAAUCGGAAUUACUGGGCGUAAAGCGUGCGUAGGUGGUUGUUUAAGUCUGUCGUGAAAGCCCUGGGCUCAACCUGGGAAUGGCGAUGGAUACUGGGCGACUAGAGUGUGGUAGAGGAUGGCGGAAUUCCCGGUGUAGCGGUGAAAUGCGUAGAGAUCGGGAGGAACAUCUGUGGCGAAGGCGGCCAUCUGGACCAACACUGACACUGAGGCACGAAAGCGUGGGGAGCAAACAGG